rfam:Schistosoma haematobium scaffold790_15, whole genome shotgun sequence.
AGCCUUCUGAAUCCAUGCCGAGGUUUCGUCAGACACUAGACCAUCACUACUGAUCAGACUCACAAGAUAAGUGAAGCG